UAUGCAUGUGAGAAUGUGUGUGUACGGGUUCGUACUAUCCUGGUGGGGACCAAAAUCUGACAUUUACUAUACUGGUGGGGACUUUCUGCACCGUGGGGACCAAAAUCCAGGUCCCCUCGGGGUUGAAAGCAAUUUUCACACUGAAAAUGGGGUUUUAGUGUCAGGGUUACAAUUAGGUUAUGGUUAGGUUUAGGGUAAGGGUUAGGGUUAGGCAUUCAUUUUUAAUGGUUAGGGUUAGGGUAAGGGGCUAGGGAAACCAUUAUGUCAAUGGGAUGUCCCCACCAGGAUAGCAAACCAGACAUGUGUGUGUGUGUGUGUGUGUGUGUGUGCGUCCGUAAAAAAGAUUUGUGUGUGGACUUAGCCAAAAACCCCAUGCAAGUUACAAGUACGAAUUUUGACCCUAUUUUUCUUCCUUUUAGCUGAUUGGUUAAUGUCAUGUCAAUCACAAAUUAAACAGUCCAAUCAGAGAACAGAUGGGUUUGGCUAUCUAUCUAGAUAGAUAGAUCAGUCUAUAUAUAUUUAAACACUGAUCUUUUUUUUUUCUUUUGCACCACUUUGGGUAAAGUGAAGUGGAUGACCUGCAUCACACAGCACAUGAAGUCAGAGACACACUUCCCAAUUUUGCUGCUGAGAUGAACACUGACAUCCCAGCCAACAAUAAGGAAGGUACUUUUCAUACCAAAUGUCAGAGUUAUUUUUGCAUACAAUGUACUUUAUCUUUUAGUAGAACAGUGGGGAAAGGCUAGUGAUCCGCAAGAUGCUGCAGUUUUGUUUAAAAGGCAUCUCUUAAAGGAAAAGGAGGAGAACCCCAUAAUCACAGCUAUCAUUGGCAUUCGACAAGAUCAAACAUCCCAGAGCCGAGAGAUCAUUGCUUUCUACAAAAGACCACAGAUUGAUUGGGCAGGACCUUUUCAUUGUUCUUUACAAGGUGACAUAGCUGUUGGCACUGGGGUCCAGAGCAAGGUUAUUAUCGUUAACUAAAACUAACGAAAUAACGAAAACUAGAAGUGAAAAAACAUUUUCGUUAACGGAAAUAAAAAUAAAAACGAAAAAAGGAAAACUAACUAAAACUGUAAUGAGUGUUCACAAAACUAACUAAAAUUAACUGAAUUUAUAGCAAAAAUAUGUUUAGUUUUUGUUUAUGUGUGCGUGUCAUACAAUAGUCAAGGGUGAAAAAGAAGUUUAGUUUCCAGGUUUUUUUCUUGCUGUGUCUCAUUAUGCCAGCAGGUGGCAGUACGUUAGUCGAGUCGUCUGUGUUGCUGCUCCGUCCACGCGCAGAAUCAUGUCAGGAAAAGUCUGGAAAAAGCGCCAGAGUCCAAUUUGGGAUUACUUUGAAUAUGUUUUGAAUAAAGCAAGUGUCUUGUAGAGGAACGAGACAAAUUAUGAGGGACAUUUCUAAAGGGAAAAAAAUCCCACAAACCUUAAAGUGCACUUGAAAAGCUCACACAAGAAGGCUAAGCUAGCUUACCUUGAGAAGGUAAGGGAGCACGCCCAACCCUCAUCCCCAGAAACAGAAGCUAACCCCAGGCAAGGCAGCGUGAUGCAUCCCGAGACAACAGGACUGGGAUAUCUACAUAACUGUGUGAGUCAAUUGCCUUCAAAAAGCUUAUCAAUUCACUUGAACCAAAAUUACGAACACCCGGUGCUGCAAGAGUUAAUAGUCUCGUUGUGGCCAAGAUAUACGUUUUAUAGUUGCCUGGUAUCAACGGUUGUUCAUCUCCCCUAAUUUAUUUAUUUAUUAAUUUAUUUAUUUAUUUAUUUGUUUAAAGAACCCAUAGGUGGGAAUGUGAGUUGUCUGUCUCUGCAUGUUAGCCCUGUGACAGACAGGCGACGUGUGCAGGGUGCAGGGUAUGGUAGCUGGAAUAGCAACAUACCCAAGGAUAAGCAGAAGAGAAUGCCUGAUAUAAUGAAACUGGGAUUUUGUUACACUUUAUUGCAAACACAACUAAAACUAUAACUGAAACUAAUCAAAACUAAACUGAAACUAAGGAUUUUCCAAAAAAUAAAAACUAAACUAAACUAGCAAACAAUUGGUAAAAACUAAUUAAAACUAAUAUAAAAUUGAAAAUCUGAAGUCAAAACGAAAUAAAAAUAAAAACUAAUGAAAAUUGCAAAACUAUUAAAACCCUCGUCCAGAGACAUUUUUUCUGCAUGGCAAUGCUAAAGUUGCAACAUGGCUUUAACACCCAUAGCGGUAUGCUUCUAUAUCCUUUUCUUAAUUAAUGUGAGAUGAGUUUUUAAACAAAUCCAUCGAAAAAUUUACUCCAGAAAUUAAAAAAAAAAAAGAUACCAUUGAAGUAUUUGCAUCAUGUUUGACAACUUCGUUAAUCAACUACUUAUGUCAAUAGUUAUUUUGCUUGUACUGUUCUUCUCCAGGUGCAGCCAACAUGACCCUUCUCUUUGAGGGACAACAGAACCAUCUAGUGCCUUCUACUUCUCAGAUUUUGGCAGACAGUGACUUUGUGGUAGCAGGCAGAAUGAUUGGGCAUUCAUUUUUGAACGAUGGGCCACGAUUGCAUGGCCUCAGCAAGGCUAUUAUUCACAUGUUGGUCCAUGCUGAUAGAGACACUGUCACUGUCCAGCUCGAUGAUGUGCCAGAUCUAGAUAUUCGUUCUACAAUUUACAGGCUUGACGGUAACAAACACCUCACUGAGCAGCAGAAGGAUGACAUUAACAAUUUGGCCAUUUCCUGGGACUUGCCACCCGUCAGUGCAGAAAACUGCAGAUGGCUGUUCCAACAGCUUCUCCAUCAUGCAGUGAUAGGCUGAACUAAAAGGCAGACAAAACACAUCAGAAAAGGUCUGAAGGACACCGGAUUGUUGACUAUGCUUCAACAAAGACCUGACACAGCCUCAGUGGUCUUUCCCCAGCAUGAAGACAGCAUUCUUACUGCACAGGCUGUUCUUAGCCACAUUGUUUGGCCAGGAGAUGAGGGCGAUGAUGAAGACGAUGAUGAUCCACCUUACCCACUAAGCAUCCAAAUGCAAACAGUGGGAUUUCUGAAGACCUACAUUGAAACAGGCAAGUGUAAUUGCAUUGCGAUUCAAAAUUUGAAUCUAAUUUGAUUUCUAAUGCAUUGAUUAUUUUUACAGCCACUCCAUUCCAGCUCAGCCAGCUGAUGAGGUUUUGGGUCGGGUGGGAAAUUCCGACUGGUACCAUGAAGGUUGAAGUGGUCAAAGCAGACUACCUCAUAUCCUGUACAUGUUUUGGAAUGUUGCGUGUCCCUGGGCACUUCCACGAGUACAAUGUCUUUUCCAAACAUGUUGAUGAUUGCAUUGCAACUUGUGCCACAGGUUUCGGCCUUAUUUAAAAGCAAUUUGUAGACACUGGAUGUCGAAUAAACUUUACCAUGCUUGAAAAAUGUUUUACAUAGCCAAAAGUUUCACUGUUUACGUAGGCUUAUUGAUUUUUUGGGAAUAUUGUUAUGCGAGUUUAAAUAUAAAAAUUAAAGUUACAGUUCCCACCAUUAACAUUUAUAUUUGAAGUUAAGGAACUAAUGAUUGUGUUAUUUAGGGUUGUUUUGUUAACUUGAAGUCAUUGUCAUGCAUCCGAUUCACAUCAUCUCUUUGUUUGAAGCAGUUUCAUGGAUUACAAGAGGUGUAAAAAAGUAGAUUAAUACUAAAGCUGUAUUAAAUGUUACACACAGUCCAAUGCUGUUGAAUAUAAUGUUAAUAAAAAUCUGCCACACUGUCAGCUGUGGUCAAGCUAUUUAAUUACCGCAUGCAGGACAGCUAACACACAUCAAAACAUUACAGUUCUACAGUCAUGAGAGUUUUUGUAACUUUCAAGCUGUUUUCAAUAAAGUCAAGUUUUG
ensembl:lncRNA